AACGCACAUUGCGCCCGCCAGUAUUCUGGCGGGCAUGCCUGUCCGAGCGUCAUUUCAACCCUCAAGCACGGCUUGGUGUUGGGGACCGGCUGCCCCGGGGCGGCGCCAGCCUAAGCCUGGCGUCCGCUCCCUGCCGCCCCCGAAAUGAAUUGGCGGUCUCGCCGCGGUCUCCCCUGCGCAGUAGCACAGCACACCUCGCAACGGGAGCGCGGCGCGGCCACGGCCGUAAAACGCCCAACUUUCUCAAGAGUUGACCUCGGAUCAGGUAGGAAUACCCGCUGAACUUAA
rnacentral:misc_RNA from 1 species